rnacentral:rRNA from 1 species
GGGAUUGCUAGUACGGCGAGUGAAGCGGCAACAGCUCAAAUUUGAAAUCUGGCGCAAGCCCGAGUUGUAAUUUGUAGAGGAUGCUUCUGGGCAGCGGCCGGGCUAAGUUCCUUGGAACAGGACGUCAUAGAGGGUGAGAAUCCCGUAUGCGCCCGGCUGGCACCCGUCACGUAGCUCCUUCGACGAGUCGAGUUGUUUGGGAAUGCAGCUCUAAAUGGGAGGUAAAUUUCUUCUAAAGCUAAAUACCGGCCAGAGACCGAUAGCGCACAAGUAGAGUGAUCGAAAGAUGAAAAGCACUUUGGAAAGAGAGUUAAAAAGCACGUGAAAUUGUUGAAAGGGAAGCGCAUGCAACCAGACUUGUCGGCGGUGUUCCGCCGGGCUUCUGCCCGGUCUACUCGCCGCCGGCAGGCCAGCAUCACUUGGGCGCGCCGGAUAAAGGCGCGGGGAAUGUAGCCCCUCGGGGUGUUAUAGCCCCGCGUACAAUACGGCGCCGCCCGAGUGAGGUCCGCGCUUCGGCUAGGAUGCUGGCGUAAUGGUUGUUUGCGGC